UCCGCGCGCCCGCCCCCGGAGGGGCCCCGGGACGCGGCCGCCGGAGGAAGGGCUUUCCCCGGGCUCGCGAGCGGGCCUGAGGGCAGAGAGCGGAGGGGGCCGGCCUGAGCGCUCCCCUCCGGCUGCGCUCGGCUUUUACACACGAAUGUCCGGAGGGAACCCAGAGAAAAUUCCAGGGAAUCUGGAGCUCAAAGCUCCAGCAGAUUCACCUCACCUCACCCUCCCCGACCUGCGGGGCACGGCCGCCCUGCACGGACCCACAGGGUCUGUCUCAUUUUUUCUCGAAAAGGAGAGUGCGUUCUGAGCUUCCUUUCUAAGGCUCUAAUCAUUUGGAAGUCACUUUUCUCACCUAAGGAGAAUUUGCGUUUUAACAAGGGGGAUAACCUUGACGUACCCAAAGGAGUGGCUAAUUGUGGAAUUACUGGCAUAGGCGAGAUAAUCUGGAAGGCAGAGAGACCUCCCUCGGUCCCCGAAACCCCUGUAACUAGCGAUGCAAGGCCGGGAAUGGAGCACAUGUAUCACAGCCCCAAGAAUGAAAGCCAUGUGCUAGCACGGAGUAGAGAGAAGACUCCAGGCUCCUAAAGGCACCGUGGAGCCUCCAGGUCUGCCCUGUUCUGCUUACUCCAGUUCUGCACCUUGGAAGACUUUUCCAUCGGGCACGAUGGAAAGCUCUGCGUGUGUCCCCCUGCUCCUGCUCCCCAGCACCCUGCGCCCCUCCCUGCUUCUCUCAAAGCACCAUCACACCCUGGCAAUCAUCUGCUUACCUGUCUCUCUGACGUGUUUGAAGGCACAGAGCUUGCACUCAAUGAAGUUGUGCCGGGAGAAGGGUGACCAGGGACACUGCUGUGUCUUCCUCAUCCUCCUUCUGAAGAAAGAAAAAGGUAUCCUUGAGGGACACACAGGAGAGGCCCCCAGCCAGUGGCCUCCCCGCCCCCUCUGUCCGGGGAGCAUCGAACAGGAAAGGAAAUUGGAUA